rnacentral:rRNA from 1 species
UACGAAGGGUGCAAGCGUUACUCGGAAUUACUGGGCGUAAAGCGUGCGUAGGUGGUUUGUUAAGUCUGUUGUGAAAGCCCCGGGCUCAACCUGGGAAUGGCAAUGGAUACUGGCAGGCUAGAGUGCGGUAGAGGGUAGUGGAAUUCCCGGUGUAGCGGUAAAAUGCGUAGAGAUCGGGAGGAACACCAGUGGCGAAGGCGGCUACCUGGACCAGCACUGACACUGAGGCACGAAAGCGUGGGGAGCGAACAGG